CCGUUUCAGACUGCAGAAUUUUCUGCUUUUCUGCCGCGCUUUUUCUGUUGAACAAGUUUUUUUGGUGUAGAGAGAGAAGAUAUUUCUAUUUUAAUUGAGAGGGAGAGAGAGGAUGCUGGUGGUCGUGAUGAUGAUGAUGAUAGAGAUGCUUAUGGGCAUAGAAUUCCGUUGAAAAGGGUUGAGAUUGGGUUGAGGUUAGGAGUUGUUAUUCCGUUGAAAAGGGCAUUUUUGCCUAUUAACACUUUUUGGAAUAGGGGCUUUAACGGCGUCGGACGGAAUUAUUGGGGUCUCCCGUUACAUAGAUCUAGCAUGAACACUUUGCCCGUUGAGACUCGCGAGCUACCCACUGCGCGCUCGACACGUGUAUAUCUUGUCAAGAUUGUUACCUAGUUUUCCCGGUAUUUUCCGCGUGACUCGAGAGUUGUUGUAUAAUGACGUUUUGUAUUUUC
rnacentral:lncRNA from 1 species